rnacentral:rRNA from 1 species
UACGGGGGGGGCAAGCGUUGUUCGGAAUUACUGGGCGUAAAGGGCUCGUAGGCGGCCAACUAAGUCAGACGUGAAAUCCCUCGGCUUAACCGGGGAACUGCGUCUGAUACUGGAUGGCUUGAGUGUGGGAGAGGGAUGCGGAAUUCCAGGUGUAGCGGUGAAAUGCGUAGAUAUCAGGAGGAACACCUGUGGUGUAGACAGCUUACUGGACCACUUCUGACGCUGAGACACGAAAGCGUGGGUAGCAAACAGG